GGCUGGAUCACCUCCUUUCUAAGGAAGAGAUCUACUGUUGUCUCACUUCUUCGGAAGUGACUCUCUGAUUGUAGAGUAAAGGGCAACUAGAUCAGGUUAACAGCAACUUGCGGUCCGCCGCGAUUCACUAUUCAGCUUUGAGAGAGCGAUGAAGUGAAAGUCCUUCGGGACUUUUAUUUUGUAACGAAUCUCAGAAGCUCUUUGACAUUGCAGAGAUUGAAACGGAUGCGGGCCUUGUGCUUAGCAGAAGACGAUCUCAAUUAUAGAACUAGCUGAUAAAUAAUUGAAUAAUGCUAAAUGCAAGAUUCUCUUUGACUUGAAUCUUGAGUAAUUAAAAAUCAGACUGGAAUCAAAAUUUUUGAGACUAGACUGAUUUUGGACUCAGAUCAAAAGAUGGAUGCAAGGCCGAAGACGAGCGAGCACCGCAGCGUACUAAUGUACGUGAGGAUGCGAGCGAGUCUGAGAACGCAGCAGACGCUUUUGAGGUGAGUCCAAAAGUUGGCCGAGUGAAGAGUUGAUGGCGAGAGUAAGCUACUAAGGGCGCAUGGUGGAUGCCUUGGCACUGAGAGGCGAUGAAAGACGUGGUAGGCUGCGAAAAGCUUCGGGGAGUCGCCUAACUGACUUUGAUCCGGAGAUAUCUGAAUGGGGAAACCCACUGCGUAAGCAGUACUGUGCAGUGAAUUCAUAGCUGUAUGGAGCAAACCCAGGGAAUUGAAACAUCUAAGUACCUGGAGGAAUAUAAAUCAAUAGAGAUUCCGAAAGUAGUGGCGAGCGAAAUCGGAAGAGCCCUAAACCAGCCGGAAUUCUGGCUGGGGUUGCGGGGCGCUCAUAACGGAUCGUAGAGGUUAGCAAAACCGUUUGGGAAGACGGACCAUAGAGGGUGAUAGUCCCGUAUGCGAAAACCAAAACGACCAGAGCUGUCCCCAAGUAGGGCGAGGCACGUGAAACCUUGUCUGAAUCCGGGAAGACCAUUUUCCAAGGCUAAAUACUACUCAGUGACCGAUAGUGAAUCAGUACCGUGAGGGAAAGGUGAAAAGAACCCCGUUGAGGGGAGUGAAAUAGAUCUGAAACCGUGCGCUUACAAGCAGUCGGAGCGAAAGUGACGGCGUGCCUUUUGCAUAAUGAGCUUACGAGUUAUUGUAGCAGGCGAGGUUAAGGUGUUCAGCACCGGAGCCGCCAGCGAGAGCGAGUCUGAAUAGGGCGUUUAGUCUGUUGCAAUAGACCCGAAACCUGGCGAUCUAUCCAUGGGCAGGUUGAAGCUGGGGUAAUACCUAGUGGAGGACCGAACUCGUACCCGUUGAAAGGGUUGGGAUGACUUGUGGAUGGGAGUGAAAAGCUAAUCGAGCUGGGUGAUAGCUGGUUCUCCCCGAAACAUAUUUAGGUAUGGCGUUUCGCGUUUCUUAAAGGGGGUAAAGCACUGAUAGAGCUAGGGGUCUCACCAGACUACCAAACUCUUUCAAACUCUGAAUACCUUUACAGAUAGCGGAGCAGACAGACUAUGGGAGAGAAGUUUCAUAGUCGAGAGGGAAAGAGCCCAGAUCACCGGCUAAGGUCCCAAAGACUAGACUAAGUGGUAAACGAUGUGAAGACGCAUAGACAGCCAGGAUGUUGGCUUAGAAGCAGCCAUCAUUUAAAGAAAGCGUAACAGCUCACUGGUCAAGUAUUUUUGCGCGGAAAAUUUAACGGGGCUCAAGUCUAGCACCGAAGCCGUGGACUUCGUAAGAAGUGGUAGGGGAGUAUUGUAGUAACCAAUGAAGGUGUCUUGCGAGGGAUGCUGGAGGAGCUACAAGAGCAUAUGUAAGCAUAAGUAGCGUAAAAGAGAGUGAGAAACUCUCUCGCCGAAAGCCCAAGGUUUCCUGGGAAAGGGUAAUCCUCCCAGGGUUAGUCGGAACCUAAGGCGAGGCUGAAAAGCGUAGUCGAUGGAUGACAGGUUAAUAUUCCUGUACCUCGAUAGUGGAGCGAUGCGGGGGCGCAGCAAGGUAGUCACGCCGAGUGUUGGAUAUCUCGGUGUAAGCAUGUAGGAGGACUUGGUUGUUAAGUACGCCAGGUUAUCAACUCUGAGGUGUGAUGCGGUGGACUUCGGUCCUUAAGGUGAUGAUCCUCUACUGACAAGAAAAGCCGCUAAGCGUUGAAGCUAUCAGUCCGUACCCCAAACCAACUCAGGUGGGCAAGGAGAGAAUCCUAAGGCGUUUGAGUGAAACCAAGUUAAGGAACUCGGCAAAUUGACACCGUAACUUCGGGAUAAGGUGUGCCAGCAGCGUCAAGAGCUUCGCGCUCGUAGCGUAGUCUGGUUGCAGAUAAGAGGGGGUGGCGACUGUUUACCAAAAACACAGCACUGUGCAAACUCGUAAGAGGAAGUAUACGGUGUGACGCCUGCCCGGUGCUGGAAGGUUAAGAGGAGAGGUCAACGCAAGUGAAGCUUUGAAUCGAAGCCCCAGUAAACGGCGGCCGUAACUAUAACGGUCCUAAGGUAGCGAAAUUCCUUGUCGGGUAAGUUCCGACCUGCACGAAUGGCGUAACGACUUCCCCGCUGUCUCAACUUGGUGCUCAGCGAAUUUGAAAACAGUGUGAAGAUGCACUGUACCCGCAGUAAGACGGAAAGACCCCGUGAACCUUUACUGUAGCUUGGCAUUGGUAUUCGGAGUUGUUUGUGUAGCAUAGGUGGGAGGCUUUGAAGCGGAGGCGCUAGCUUUCGUGGAGCCAUCCUUGAAAUACCACCCUGAUAAUUCUGGAUCUCUAACCUACUCCCCUAAUCGGGGAGAGGGACAAUGCCUGGUGGGCAGUUUGACUGGGGCGGUCGCCUCCCAAACAGUAACGGAGGCGUG
rnacentral:misc_RNA from 1 species